CCGCUUUGGCAGCAUGUAUGCUAAAAUUGCAACAGUACGGAGAAGAUCAGCGUGGCCCCUGCGCAAGGCUGACAUGUAAAUCUGUGAAGCCUUUCAUAUUUAA